AUUGAACGCUGGCGGCAUGCUUUACACAUGCAAGUCGAACGGUAACAGGCCGCAAGGUGCUGACGAGUGGCGAACGGGUGAGUAAUGCAUCGGAACGUGCCCAGUCGUGGGGGAUAACGCAGCGAAAGCUGCGCUAAUACCGCAUACGAUCUAUGGAUGAAAGCGGGGGACCGUAAGGCCUCGCGCGAUUGGAGCGGCCGAUGUCAGAUUAGGUAGUUGGGGGGGUAAAGGCUCACCAAGCCGACGAUCUGUAGCUGGUCUGAGAGGACGACCAGCCACACUGGGACUGGGACACGGCCCAGACUCCUACGGGAGGCAGCAGUGGGGAAUUUUGGACAAUGGGGGCAACCCUGAUCCAGCAAUGCCGCAUGCAGGAAGAAGGCCUUCGGGUUGUAAACUGCUUUUGUACGGAACGAAACGGCUCUGGUUAAUACCUGGGGCUAAUGACGGUACCGUAAGAAUAAGCACCGGCUAACUACGUGCCAGCCGCCGCCGUAACAC
rnacentral:rRNA from 1 species